rnacentral:piRNA from 1 species
UACCGUACUAUUUUCAAAAGC